AUGAUUAAUCAUGCAUCAUGUGGUGGCAUUGAUAAUCGAAAGACAAGGGGGUACAUUCACUUAUCGGCCUUUGUCUCAAUUGUUGAGUGUUACGUGCCUUAUGUCCAAGGCUUGAUGCAAAACUACUAUUCAGCAGGGGUCCCACUCGAAGCAGCCUCUCUACUCCUACAGGGUAGAGGUAAGGUUGUCUACAUCUUACCCUCAUUAGACCCUACCUUAGCUUUGCUAUUGGUGGGAUUUACUGAGUAUGAUAAUGAUGGUGAAAGUUGAUGAGUAAAGUCUAUUAUCCUGAUUUGCUUUCAAAUGGUCAUUGGUCACAACCAAAAAUUUAAAAUCGAAACUGAUUCCCUUAGAAAAAAGAAUAAGUUUAUCACUUUUUGUGUGAAUAGCGUUUCCAACUUUUAGACGGUCUCAACAAAUAUGCCCUAAUUGUUAAUAAUUUUUUUAGAAACAUAGCAAAGAAUUUCUGGAAUCCUAAUCAUUCGACGUCGUUUAGCUUUAUUUGAACAAAUUUUGUUUUCCCUCCAUUAAUAGAGAGUUAUGGAUCCAUGUUCGUUAACAUGUUAUCGACACAUAAAGCAAUUAAUUCAAUAAUAUUAGUAAGUUAUCAAUUAUCAUUAAGAUGGCGAGUAAAAUAAUAUUUAUUCAAAAGGGCCCGAAUUAUAAUAUUCGCUUUGGGCAUCCAAAAAGCUUGGAACGGCCCUGGCUAUAAGUCUACAAUUGGCUUAAGCCCACGGUCGGAAAUCUUAAGCUUCACCACUGCAUCUCAUGAUAAGUAUUUAGACAUCUAUGCAGCACAAGGGAAGCACAUUGAGUGCACUCUCAUGAUCUUCACCAAAUCAACAGUUUUUGAAGCGAUUAUUUGGAAUACGUGAGUUGUCAUCAAUAGACGUGUAUCGUCUAUAAACGAUCAUCUUCUACACUAGCAUUGAACGAUUUUCACUCACCAAUAACACUUUGUUCCCAAGUCUCAUUUAAUAGGGGGAGGGGAAAGAAAAGAGAUAAAAUAUGAAAAAACUAUGUUUCCAAGAUUUUUUAAGGAUAGAAGGGGAGGGGAAAGGAGGGAAAAGGGAAGAAAAGUUGUACGUAUAUUUAUCCUCCCAAAUAAGAGAGAUUAGGAGAGAAAAUAUUAUCAAUUACUAAAUUACCCUCAUAUCUAAUCCUUGUUAUAAACACUGGUAAAUCUCAUGUUCAGUUCUUUUACGGAUAACCUACAGAAUUGGCGCAACUUUCUGCUCUACAUCUUCCUGCUCUGCAUCAAUCAUCGAUGUUGUGCGAGAGCUGUAUCUGUUGGUUAUCAGGCCAAAUUACAAACUGAAGCAAACAAAAAAGAGAUGAAGUGUUGCUGUAUGAAUUUAUCGAAGUAUGAAAUAAAUAUAGUAUAGAAAAGUUACAAUGAUGAAAAGGACUUUAAAACAUAUUGCAUUUUAUUGAAUAAAGGCUGAGGCUAUUUAUAGCCGGUACAAAAAGAAACGUGGAACAAUUCCAACCAAUGAAAAUACUAAUCUCCUAGAGAACCAAAUGUUAGUUCAUGCCCCACUCCAAACUCACAGCACUCAUGUAUGUAUGCAGUAUGUGUAGUAAAUGAAGGAGCAAUAUAAAUGCAGAAGAGUGAAAGCUACUAUAUUCAAUAAAAGAAAAAGGUGUUUUAAAGUCCUUUUCAUCACUGCAAUACUAUAUUUAUUUCAUACUUCGAUAAAUUCAUACAACAACACUUCGUCUCUUUUGUGUUUGCUUCAGUUUGUAAUUUGGCCUGAUAACCAACAUUAUCUUCUGUUUA